rnacentral:rRNA from 1 species
UGGGGAAUAUUGGACAAUGGGGGGAACCCUGAUCCAGCCAUGCCGCGUGUGUGAAGAAGGCCUUAUGGUUGUAAAGCACUUUAAGCGAGGAGGAGGGUACUGGUAUUAAUACUACCAGCUACUGGACGUUACUCGCAGAAUAAGCACCGGCUAACUCUGUGCCAGCAGCCGCGGUAAUACAGAGGGUGCGAGCGUUAAUCGGAUUUACUGGGCGUAAAGCGUGCGUAGGCGGCUAACUGAGUCGGAUGUGAAAUCCCCGAGCUUAACUUGGGAAUUGCAUUCGAUACUGGUUAGCUAGAGUGUGGGAGAGGAUGGUAGAAUUCCAGGUGUAGCGGUGAAAUGCGUAGAGAUCUGGAGGAAUACCGAUGGCGAAGGCAGCCAUCUGGCCUAACACUGACGCUGAGGUACGAAAGCAUGGGGAGCAAACAGG